AUUGAACGCUGGCGGCAUGCUUUACACAUGCAAGUCGAACGGUAACAGGCCGCAAGGUGCUGACGAGUGGCGAACGGGUGAGUAAUGCAUCGGAACGUGCCCCGUCGUGGGGGAUAACUACUCGAAAGAGUAGCUAAUACCGCAUACGAUCUAUGGUUGAAAGCGGGGGACCGUAAGGCCUCGCGCGAUUGGAGCGGCCGAUGUCAGAUUAGGUAGUUGGUGGGGUAAAGGCUUACCAAGCCAACGAUCUGUAGCUGGUCUGAGAGGACGACCAGCCACACUGGGACUGAGACACGGCCCAGACUCCUACGGGAGGCAGCAGUGGGGAAUUUUGCACAAUGGGCGCAAGCCUGAUCCAGCAAUGCCGCGUGCAGGAAGAAGGCCUUCGGGUUGUAAACUGCUUUUGUACGGAACGAAACGGCUCUGGUUAAUACCCGGGGCUAAUGACGGUACCGUAAGAAUAAGCACCGGCUAACUACGUG
rnacentral:rRNA from 1 species